UCCAGAACAAGAAAUAUGGAAAUGCUAUUUUUCUCUUUCUGUGAAGAUCUUGAUUGAGUCUUCCAUAGAAGUGUUACUGUAGUCCUCUGUUUUUCUGUGAAUGGUAAUCAAGAAACUUCCAAGGCCUUAGUAAAGAAGAGAACAAUGGGAAACCAGAAGAAAUGUGCACAGAUCCCAAGAAUUACUGUGAGUGCCUUAGACUGUGCACAGUGAGCAACUAUAAUGAGGAUUUUUGGAACAAUACAGUGAUGAAAACAACAUAAGCAUUGCAUUGAUACCUUCUUCCAAGAUGGACAGAAUUUGAAAAUACAGGAAGAGCUGGAAGGAGGAUACAUUUGAGAAGCAGCUACAGCACAUAAUGCUGUUGAAACAUGUUAAAGAAAGAGGAUGUUCUGAGAGGCUAUCAUCAAACAAGGAGGAGACAGAGUGCUGCAAAAACAUGUUUACUGCAUGUUUAUUCCUUCUGAAAAUACUGCUAGUACUGCAGCCUUUGUGCUCUGCUGAAUGCUAGUAGAUACCAGAGAGAACUGACUUUUCCAUCUUUAAAUGCUGUGCUACCAGGCAUUUACUUCAUUUUUCACAGAUUGUACUGUUACACAUGCUUGUUUAAGAUCCUUAAUUUUUAAUUUUCUUACUUACCUGCUGCUUUCCACAGAAUGAAAACAAUGUACUGGAGUUUUAUUAUUUGCAGUAAAUAAACCAUUUGUAAACUUGUCAAA